rnacentral:lncRNA from 1 species
UUCAAAUGCCCUGCUAAGUCUUCUUCUUGAAAGACGAUUUGGAUUAACUCAUCACACUACGAUAGAUCUCGUUCUCUUGCGAGCAAUCUAUAUGUACACUUGAAUUGAACAAGUCUACUCAAAAUCGUCAGAAUUUUUCAAAAAAGUGAUCAAAUUAAUGUAAUCUAAAUGGUUUAAUUAUUUAUGCACAAUAAUUGAGUACAGGAAGAAANAAAAAAAAACCAUUAAGUCAUGGCCUUACUGGUAAUGAUGAUUGAAACUAGCAAACCACGUCAAACAAUCUUUGACCACAACUUUUCUUUUUUGAAUGCGAUAUUUGUCUCUUGCCCUCAAUAAUUCGAGCUUUUUAUUAGUGAAAAAUGGUACCAUAAUCGAAGUCGUCCUU